GUGAGUAGUUCAGAGUUUGAUCCUGGCUCAGGACGAACGCUGGCGGCGUGCCUAACACAUGCAAGUCGAACGGAGUGAUCCUUCGGGGUCGACUUAGUGGCGAACGGGUGAGUAACGCGUGAGAAACCUGCCUUUCAGUGGGGGACAACAGUUGGAAACGACUGCUAAUACCGCAUAAUGUUUCGAGAGGGCAUCCUUUUGAAACCAAAGAUUUAUUGCUGAAAGAUGGUCUCGCGUCUGAUUAGCUAGUUGGUGAGGUAACGGCUCACCAAGGCGACGAUCAGUAGCCGGUCUGAGAGGAUGAACGGCCACAUUGGGACUGAGAUACGGCCCAG
rnacentral:rRNA from 1 species